rnacentral:rRNA from 1 species
CCGCCCGUCACAUCACGAAAAGUGGGUUGUACUAGAAGUCGCUGCGCUAACCGCAAGGAGGCAAGCGCCCAAGGUAUGACUCAUGAUUGGGGUG